UGAGGGUUGCUGGAGGUAUCAGAAGUGCGAAUGCUGACAUAAGUAACGAUAAAGCGGGUGAAAAGCCCGCUCGCCGGAAGACCAAGGGUUCCUGUCCAACGUUAAUCGGGGCAGGGUGAGUCGACCCCUAAGGCGAGGCCGAAAGGCGUAGUCGAUGGGAAACGGGUUAAUAUUCCCGUACUUGGUGUUACUGCGAAGGGGGGACGGAGAAGGCUAUGUUGGCCGGGCGACGGUUGUCCCGGUUUAAGCGUGUAGGUGUGUGUUCCAGGUAAAUCCGGUUCACUUUAACACUGAGGCGUGAUGACGAGGCACUACGGUGCUGAAGCAACAAAUGCCCUGCUUCCAGGAAAAGCCUCUAAGCAUCAGGUAACAUCAAAUCGUACCCCAAACCGACACAGGUGGUCAGGUAGAGAAUACCAAGGCGCUUGAGAGAACUCGGGUGAAGGAACUAGGCAAAAUGGUGCCGUAACUUCGGGAGAAGGCACGCUGACACGUAGGUGAAGUGAUUUACUCACGGAGCUGAAGUCAGUCGAAGAUACCAGCUGGCUGCAACUGUUUAUUAAAAACACAGCACUGUGCAAACACGAAAGUGGACGUAUACGGUGUGACGCCUGCCCGGUGCCGGAAGGUUAAUUGAUGGGGUCAGCGCAAGCGAAGCUCCUGAUCGAAGCCCCGGUAAACGGCGGCCGUAACUAUAACGGUCCUAAGGUAGCGAAAUUCCUUGUCGGGUAAGUUCCGACCUGCACGAAUGGCGUAAUGAUGGCCAGGCUGUCUCCACCCGAGACUCAGUGAAAUUGAACUCGCUGUGAAGAUGCAGUGUACCCGCGGCAAGACGGAAAGACCCCGUGAACCUUUACUAUAGCUUGACACUGAACAUUGAGCCUUGAUGUGUAGGAUAGGUGGGAGGCUUUGAAGUGUGGACGCCAGUCUGCAUGGAGCCGACCUUGAAAUACCACCCUUUAAUGUUUGAUGUUCUAACGUGGACCCGUAAUCCGGGUUGCGGACAGUGUCUGGUGGGUAGUUUGACUGGGGCGGUCUCCUCCUAAAGAGUAACGGAGGAGCACGAAGGUUGGCUAAUCCUGGUCGGACAUCAGGAGGUUAGUGCAAUGGCAUAAGCCAGCUUGACUGCGAGCGUGACGGCGCGAGCAGGUGCGAAAGCAGGUCAUAGUGAUCCGGUGGUUCUGAAUGGAAGGGCCAUCGCUCAACGGAUAAAAGGUACUCCGGGGAUAACAGGCUGAUACCGCCCAAGAGUUCAUAUCGACGGCGGUGUUUGGCACCUCGAUGUCGGCUCAUCACAUCCUGGGGCUGAAGUAGGUCCCAAGGGUAUGGCUGUUCGCCAUUUAAAGUGGUACGCGAGCUGGGUUUAGAACGUCGUGAGACAGUUCGGUCCCUAUCUGCCGUGGGCGCUGGAGAACUGAGGGGGGCUGCUCCUAGUACGAGAGGACCGGAGUGGACGCAUCACUGGUGUUCGGGUUGUCAUGCCAAUGGCACUGCCCGGUAGCUAAAUGCGGAAGAGAUAAGUGCUGAAAGCAUCUAAGCACGAAACUUGCCCCGA
rnacentral:rRNA from 1 species